rnacentral:SRP_RNA from 1 species
CCGUACUAAUCGGGGAGUCAGCGGUGCCCUGUACCUGCAACCCGCUACAGCAGGGAUGAAUUCCGGCCCCCGGUUUUGCGGUGUAUUGUCUGACCCUUGUAAGCAGUGAUGACGAACCGGUCUUGCGCAACGAAGCCCCGUGAACCAUGUCAGGCGGGAGACCGAGCAGCAUUAAGCGGUGCGCUUCGUGUGCCGUGAGGCAGCCGAUUCCGAGCCGGCUGCAGGGGUUACGGGUAUAUCGCAAUUAUCAAAGGCCGGUGUACGG